CUCCCCUCCCUAUCCCAGGGCCCUUCGCACGCGGCCCUCGGUGACCGCAGCUGGCUCCGUGAUGGCAGCCCUGCUGUUAUUCCUCUAAUCACAGUCCCCUGCUACGUUUCCCACUGGACUCAUCCGUUUCUCUGGUCUCCUCCUCUCUCCAAGACUUGUAAUUUCAGCGUUUACUCUUCCCGUUCUUCCCAUCUGCCUGUCCCCGCUCCUGGUGUCGGUCACCCUCGGCCUCCGCCUGAAACCUGCUUAAUCCAGCUCAGAUAUUCUGGGGGCUCGGCUGCCAAGAUGAAAUAGGCCUGGAAGUUUUCACAUCAAAACUGUUAUUUUUCAAAUUAUCACUUAUCCACAUGCAGGAAGCCUGUAACAGGUAUGGAAAAAGACACCUUUCUUCCUGAUGCGACGCACUGCCAGAUUCCGUGUAUCCAUUCCAAAGCACGGCAGGACUAGAACAUCUCAUUAAACAAUUGUGAGGGGGUUUUGGUUUUGUUUUACAUUGGCGAGAGGCUGACUUUUUUCCCUGACCUCAUCUUUGGCAGAGGCUGAGCUAUUUUUACUGAAACUCUUCAACAAACCAAGUUCAUUUACUAUACAGUUUUGGAUAGAAUGACCCAAUCCCAAACAGUUAUAAACCAGAGGAAUUGUAACUAAAAAGAGUUUUGAACAAGAAUGUGUCACUCAGAUUUGCCAUACCAUGCAUAAUUUGCCAUAUUAGUAUUUUUUUCUCAUUAUCGUUCAUCAUUAAUUUUAAAUCUAGUCUUUUCAGUGUGAUCUAAAAUAUGCUGGAGGGAGUUUGAUGUUGGACACAUUAGCACCAACUAUAAAUACUGAACAGAGGCUUAUUCUUACAGUUGGAAUAAAAUCUCUCUAUUCUGCAAUGUCUUGAUUAAAUUUAGUCUCAGGAUUUCAAUCUAGAGUCUACAGUGAAACUUUCUUUGUAUGUUUAACAAUAAAAAAUAUAAUCAUCUUUGCACAGGUAACAGAUAAAAAGUACUUUGUGUGUGGGCAAAAAGCAUCUUGUUUUCUUAAUUUCCUCCUGGAUUUCCUUCACAGGAAAUUUUCCCACUCUCACAAAUGUCAAAUAUCAACCACUUGCAAAUGUCUACUCUAAUGACAGUUCAAACACAGGGCGUAGCAAAGCUUUGGUAAUUAAGCCAUUAGAAAUUAUUAUCGUAUCUAUCAUAUUUUAAUGAGUGACAAAGCAGAUGGAACUACCCAGAUCCAUCAGUCUCCUCUCUAUAUUCAAGCAGAACUGAGUCUCAGAAUAGGAGUUUUUAGCAAUAUGUUUUCAUUAGAAUUUUUUUUUUUUUUAAGUGAAAUUUCAAUGCUUUAUAUUUUGCUGGGAUUUAUCUCAACAAGAUUUUGCAAAGUCAACUCUGGAACAUCUCCGGGGUCCUUGACCAUGUCAGAGUCCAAUGAUCCCUGCGACUUUGUACACCGAUAAAAAGCCGCAGUAACCUCCCUAUUCCCCGAUAUCCUCGUCCGUGUGGGUUUGGGAGCUAUUAGCUGGCUUUAAGGUGACAUCUGGUGGUACCUUUUAAUUACUGCUCUUUUUAGGACCUGAUCCCAGAACUACGCAAAUGAAUUAUCUUUCCCCUGUUCCACAUCAAAAAAAAUUACCUCCUUUUUGUUUCCCAAGCAAGAUACUUGUAAUUCCUGCUUUUGGACUGCAAGUGUCUUACUGGUAAUAUCCGGGAAUAAGCACUUAUCCCACAGUCUGGUGUAAAAUUACAUCAUGAAUUCACACCAGAGCGAUCCAGUGCAGUUGAAUUUCAGUAGGAAACAAUCACUUUGCGUUUCACGUACCAUUUACAUGAGGUCCUGUGACUCGUGACAUUACUCAGCCCUGUUUCGAGAGGGAAAUAAAACCAUUUUAUGAGCCCUCCUAUGGCUUCAUCUCAACAGCAAAUCCGACGUUUUGAAGGCAGAAAAAAGGGUACAUCGCAGCAGAACUUUGUCGCACCAAGUCCCCGUCCCCCCUCGCAGCUGGCAGAAGCACCGGGGCAAAUCUGCAGCCUUGAAACCUGCGGAGGACGAGUGACUUUUGCAGUCUCCCUCCGUUUCCCGGAGAGAGGAAAAUGAACACCGCAUUAGAAGACUCAUCAAAGAGACUCAUCAAAGGCAAAGUCUCGCAGAUGCCGCAGCGCUCUCGCUUCUGCCGGUCUCGCAUCCCAGAAGGGUCCCGCAACCUGUCAAUGCCUGUGCUCAAGGCGGGUGUUCCCUCUCCUCCGCAUGCCCCCAGGCUGCUCCAUGCAAAGAUCGGCCACUCCAAAAAGCAGCUCUGUGGCUUUGCGGUUUGCUCCUCUCCGCUCUCAAAUUGACUCUCUCCUCCAGACGGAUUCCUUUGGCUUUUUAAAUGUAACCGGUCUGGCAAAGGAGGAUUCACUCACGGUUGGACAUAAAAAUAGACAUGAGAAGCUGUGAAGAGCUCUUGGAACAGAGGAUGAGUCAGGACAGAUAUGCAGAGGGAAGAAGAUGAUAUUCCAGCCUUGAAGUCAGGUUCACUGCCUGCGUCAUUGUUAUUAAAAAUAGAUGAAUGGCAGUGCUCUUCGCAUUGGGGGAGAGACACAGGAGAUGUAAUAUCCUGGGCUGCUGAGCAAAUGCUCCCUCUGUCUGCCUGCAAGUCCCCCAGUGGCAUCUUCUGCUCUUUAAUAAAUUCUCUUUUCUUGGCUCUG